CCCUGCCCUUGCCAACAGCAGAGCUAAACCCAGAGCACCUGGGGUUGGCAGAGUGCGUGUUAGGGGACAAGAGAUGUCCCCCAAGGGUAGGGUGGCAAGAGGAGGUGGGGGCUGCUGCCACCACUGCCUGCUCAGCCUGCCAAAUGCCUGAGCUGGUCCCAGUGGAAGCAAGCAAAAGCUGGCAUGGUUGCAUUGUUGGUGAGUGUCCCCACUGGAGUGACUUCUCCAAAGCUCCUGAGCACCUCUACCAGUGUGCUGCAGCAUUUUUUGUCCCCAGAGGGGUCUCAGUUCAAGCCCAGUGCCCUGCCACAGAGUGUGCCUGCAGCGGGGCUCUGCUGUGGCAGGACAUGUCCUGCUCGUGUUCUGGCUGCUGGCUGCCUCUGCUGUGGGACGGGGAUCAGGAGGGCACUGCAGGAGCAAGUGCCAGUCCCUCACUGGGGCAGCUGCCGCAGCAGGUGGGUGGGGGUGGUGGUCGUUGUGCUUAAAACAAAGAUAGAAAGAAUGGUGCUGGGUGUGGAGUGGGGAAGUGGUGCUGAGUGUGCCAGGGAGACCAGGUGAGUAGGAGGGAAAGCAGGUAAUGUUGCCUGGAGGAAAAGGAAUGGGUAAAGUGCUGUGGGGGAAACUGAGGAGCCACUGGCAGCAGGGACAGCGACUGGCUGGGCUGCAGGGACAGCCCUUGAGAGGGAGCAGCAGCACCUGAGUCUGAGGGCAGGAGCCAUUGCCAGGUGUGUGCUGCAGCUGUCCUGUAGCACGGAGAGGGUCUGGGCAGGGGCUAUCCUGACUGUGACUGCGGGGACAGCUCCUGCUGUUACCUCAGGCAUGGAUAUUUCUGUAGCACAGAGAAGUGAGACUGGUGAAUGAGCCACCUCAUCCUGUACCUGGAGGAUGGGGCUGGGGAGGAGGGCGCACAGCUCCGCAGACCCCGCUGCAGAGGCUCAGGCAGUGCUGGGGUGGGAGGUGAGCCCCGUGGUCCGUGCUGGGCGCCUCGGGCCCGUGCUGCUGGGCUGCCUGCUGGCUUACAUCCUGCACCUCGCGCUCUCGGAGUGACGGGGGAGGACACACGGUAAAGGAGGGCUGCAGGGGCUCGGACCUGGUCCCCGUCGUAUCUUUUUGCCGUCUGCCUUGCACCUACGACCCAGCCUACACACCAUCCCCUUGGCCAGGUGAUGGGGGAUCAGUUCUCAGAGGUGAGCAGAACCCAGUUCUGCUCUGAGUGAGAGGUGCCUCUGCCUUUUCUGCGGGGAAAGGAACCACUCCUCAGGGCUGGGGUGUUGGGGAACCCACAGAGCUCCACAUCCCAGGACAGAAGCCUGCAGAGUGUGAGUGCCUGUGGCCGCUGCUUUGCAGCAAAGCAAAUGAUCACUUUCACCUAAGAACAACAUUAAAUUGUAUAUGAAUGCUGCUGACCCAAAUAAAUUCAGUCUGAUGGA